rnacentral:rRNA from 1 species
CAAUAGCGUAUAUUAAAGCUGUUGCGGUUAAAAAGCUCGUAGUUGGAUUUCUGUCGAGGACAACUGGUCCGCCCUCCGGGUGAGCACAUAGUUUGGUCUUGGCAUCUUGCUGGAAACUGUUGCUGCACUUGGCUGUGUGGCGCAGCGUCCAGCACUUUCACUUUGAGGAAAUUGGAGUGUUUCAAGCAGGCACAUGCCUUUGGACACAGUAGCAUGGAAUAAUUAGAUUGGGCUUUUGCUCCAAUUUGUCGGUUUCUGGAGCUGAGGUGAGAAUUAAUGGGGAUUGUUGGGGGCAUCCGAAUUUAGCCGUCAGAGGUGAAAUUCUUGGAUCUGCUAAAGACGGACAACUGCGAAAGCGUUUGUCCAGGAUGUUUUCAUUGA